GGGUACUUGAAUUCCUCGCCUGGCUCCCCUUCCACGCCUUCGUCACACACGUAGAACGAGCCACAGUCUUUGGGGUCCGGCACCAUGGUGAAGUCGGAGCCGUCGCAGUACGGAUCACAGUAAGGGGAGCAGCAGACACUUUCGUCGUGGGUGCAGCUGCUGCCGUCGAAGUAGGGGAAAUCAGCAGAGCAUUCCGCCAACACGGGACCGCCGGGGGUGCAGAAGUAGUAGGUGGAGCAGUCGAAGAGGUUGGCGACCACCGUCGUGGUAGCGUUGCAGGUUAUGG